rnacentral:tRNA from 3 species
GGACAGGUGGCCGAGUGGCUGAAGGCACCGGUCUCGAAAACCGGCAUACCGGCAACGGUAUCGAGAGUUCGAAUCUCUCCCUGUCCG